AACUGUUAGCAAUGGAUAUCUCAGCUCUCGCCAUGAUGAAGAAUGUAAUGAAAUGCAAUACUUAGUGUGAAUUCCAAAAUCCCAUGAAUCAUCUAGUCUUUGAAUGCAAGUUGCAUUUGAGGCCUCGGCCAAGGGCAUGUCUUCUUGGGAAUCA